AGAUGCUUCAAACAAACAUGAUAUCAGGCGAAUUUUCUAUACUUAGAACUUUUAAACCAAGACUUUAUAAUAUAAAUAUUUCUGGUAAUAGACUGGGGUGCCGACUUUCUAUCCUUUGAAAAUAUACCAAGUCUAAAAUAUUUAAAUGCUUCAAGAAACUUAUUUUCAGGUCCCAUUGAAAUAUUUCAAAAUAAUAGAGAGUUAGUUACUGUGGAUCUUUCUUUUAACUAUAUAAAGCAUAGUAUACCAAAUUUUUCUAACAAUCCAAAAUUAAAGUUACUAUGUCUUUCGAAUAAUUUAUUGAGUGGUAAAAUUUCAAGUUUUGCAAAUAAUCCUGAUUUAACAGAAUUGUACCUUUCACAAAAUAACCUAGUUGGUCCCGUUCCAGAUCUAGGAGAAAACCCUAAUCUGCAGAAAA